rnacentral:tRNA from 1 species
CCGCGCCCCGGCCCGGUUCGAUCCGGAGCAGGACUCGUUCGUGGCGCGGCGGUUCGGCCGCCGGCCGGGCCGGCGCGGGAGCCGGCGGCGUGGC